AAUGAACGUUGGCGGCGUGGAUUAGGCAUGCAAGUCGUGCGGAAAGGCCCCGCAAGGGGUACUCGAGCGGCGAAAGGGAUAGUAACACGUAGGUACCCACCUCUGGGACGGGGAUAGCCGGGGGAAACUCCGAUUAAUACCCGAUAACGUCCUAGGACCAAAGGUGUGAUUCCGCCCGGAGACGGGCCUGCGUCCUAUCAGCUUGUUGGUGAGGUGACGGCUCACCAAGGCAACGACGGGUAGCGGGUGUGAGAGCACGACCCGCAUCACUGGGACUGAGAUACUGCCCAGACACCUACGGAGGCUG
rnacentral:rRNA from 1 species